rnacentral:lncRNA from 1 species
AUAAUCUUCCUCAGCUUGGUUUCAAUCUGGAAGGAAUUAAGGCUGAAAUUGAUCAAUUCCCUCACCAAGAUGACACAACUAAUACUUAAAUUAUUCUAAGAUUAACAACAACAACAAAAACAAUGAAAAGGGUGUUGGAACUCUAUAAUUAGGAGAAAACAUGACCCUGACAAACAGUAUUUGGUGUUAAUAUACCAACACCUAGUAGUGGCAUCUAUUUUUAUGUCAAUUUCUGAGAUUUGUUAAGAACCAAUUCCCAUACCAGGAACAUAUUAUUUUCAAAAUAUACAAUAAUUACGUUAAAACACUAAGAGUUCCAUCAUGACCAUCAUUAAAGUUUAGAAAAUUUGUCAUCAUUCCUCUUACAGAAUAGCAAUCAUCAGCAUUCCCACUCCCCAUCCCUGGCCUCCAUUGUUCUAACACUUAUGUCAAUAUGCUUGUAACCUCUGGCUUUUUAGGGUAAUAGAAUCAUCUGAUAUGUGAACUGUGUUGCCUUUAAAGUAGGAUAUUGUUUAAAUGAUUCCUCACAUUGUGGCAAGGGUCAAUGGCUCAUUCCUUUUUAUGGCUUAAUAGUGGCUCAACCAGAUAUGGUUUUAAGUAUUCAUUGGUUUAUAGACAUUUGACUUGUGCCUACCUUUUGGCUGUUAUGAAUAAUACUAUGAUAAUAGUAUAUGUAAGCUGUGAGUAGCCAUAUAUUUUCUGUUCUCUGGGACAUAUAUCUAGGUAUGGGCUUACUGUAUCAGUAAUCUUUAUAUAUUAUAUAUUAAUGCUUCACUAACUCUUUAUGGCACCUUGAGAAAUAGCCUGUUUUUUGAAAUGCCUCUAUCAUUUUACAAGUCUACCAACAAACUUUUGAGGGAGACCAAUUUCUCUAAGUCUUCAGCCACAGCUGCUAUUGUGUUUCCUUUAAUUAAUUGCUCUGUUUUAAAGCUGAGUUACUUGAUUUCAUGGUAUUGUGCUCAUAAUUAUUUCAAAAUAUUUCUUCCACUGGGGGAGAAGACCUUUCAAUUUUAAAUGCUAUCUUUCAACAGAUUAGUUUCUAAUAUUGACAGUUUACUUGGUCAUGUUUCGAGUUUUUAUACUUGCUAUAUUUUCAUUACUAUUUUUCAUACACUACUGCCUAAAUAAAACACACAAAUAUGUGAUUCUCCUUUUUGUUUUAAAACUGUAGGUUUAGGUUUUCAUAGUUGGGGACAGGAUUCAUAUCAAGUUUAAUAUGUUUAUGGUGAGAGGUCAGAUUCUGGCCCCAUUUUGUACAUGUUGACUUCUAUCCGCCAAAACCACAUUUGCUGAAAACAAAACAAAACAAAACAAAACACCUCUUCCCCACUGAACUCUUGUAACAAAUCUAUAGAGAGGGGGGAGGAGGGGGGAGGAGGGGGAAAGAAGAGGUACAGUUUGGAUUUUGUUCUUUUGAACAAAUCUCUCAAUGUAACAUCAACUGGCCUUCAACAUGAGUCUUUUUACACACACACGUAUGUAUAUAUAUAUAUAUACAUACGUGUGUGUGUGUGUGCGCGCGUGUGUUUUACAGUGCUAGAGAUGAAACCCAGGGCCUUAGGCAAAUGGUCUAGUUAAAUGAAAUUCACUCUUAUAGAAACUACCUCACUCUAGUAGUAACAUCAUUAAUUCCUUCAUGAUUGCAGAGCCCUUCAAAGUGAUGUAAUCCCUCUGUCAUCAUACUAUGAAUGAACCUACAAUAGCAAUGGAAAUUCACUAUAUAUUUUGAAAAGAAAAGAAUAUGCCCCAGUACAGGGGAAUGUCGGGGCCAGGAAGAGGUAGUGGGUGGGUUGGGGAGCAGGGCAAGGGGGGGGCAGGGUAUAGGGGACUUUGGGGAUAACAUUUGAAAUGUAAGUGAAGAAAAUAUCGAAUAAAAUGUAUUUACAAAAUAUUCCUACAGAAAAACCUUUGAAUCACAAUAGUAACUACAUCUGCACUUAUCAACAGGGCCUUGAAGUCCAAGAAGCAAUAACAGUGGAAUUGAAUGAAAAAAUAAGGAAGCCAGCAGUUAGAGAUAGUUGCUAUGUACACUUACUUUCAAUAAUGCGCAUAACAAUUGGCAGGAAAUAAAAGUAAACAGAGAACUUAAAAAAAAAUCAACUAACUGGUUCAGGCAGACCUUUAUAGAGCAUUCCAUCUGAAACAGUCCAAGGUGUUUUCCCAGUUCACCUUGACCAAUUCCCAGGAAAGACUGUGUAUUAAAGCAUAAUCUGGCAGCAAUGAACUUGAAAGAAUGGUUCUCCUUGACCAAUAAUGAGGUUACAAUGCAAUAAACCCAUUGUAAAUUGAAAAUACAGGUUAAAAAAAUAGUUGUGAUACUCCUCACCUGAGGUAACAUUUACUUUUCCUGCUGCUAUGAUAAAGUGCCCUGACCACAGCUUAAGGGACAAAAGCUUUAUCCUGAUUUACAAUUGCAGAGAAGAUAUUUCAUUGUGCAGGGAAGGCAUGGUAGAAGCAGACUAAGUGAUUGGAUUGUAUGGGAAGUCUUGAAGUAGAAAGUAACUGGAAGUGGAUGGAGUCUGACUAUAAAGCUGCUGGACCAGUGAUUCUCAACCAUGUUGUGACCCCAACCAUAAGAUUAUUUUCAUUGCUACUCCAUGACUGUAACUUUACCACUGUUAUGAAUCAUGAUAUAAAUGUCUGUAAAAAUGUUUUCUGAUGGUCUCAGACAACCUAUGUGAAAGGCUUUUUGACCCCAAAAACCUUUAUUGUGGAGUCAUAAGAAGAGUUCAUAACCCACAGGUUGGGAACCACUGCUCUAGACUCAACCAGCUUCCCAAACCCACUUACCAACUACCUUCAGCAAGGCUCUACCUUCUAAUAUUACACCUUCCCAAUAGUGUCCCCUACUGGGCAGCCAGUAUUCACAUGCACAGACCAAUGGAGGAUAUUUUACAUUCAAACUCCAUCUAUACUACACCAUACUUAUAGCUUAGACACUAUUUAGUUUCACACUAUUCACCCUUGUAUUCCCUUGGCUAACUGGAAGCUGACUUUUUAUUUUGUUACUUAUACUUAGAGGAGAAUAUCACUCUGCAUAUGGCUAGCUUGCAAACAAUCAAAUUUCAUAUUUGAAAUGAUACGUUCUACUGAGUAUAUAACAACCUUCAGAAAACCUAGAAAUCAAAUGUUAGGCAAACCAUUUCUAAGGAAGUAUUGGUGUCUAGGUCAUAACUUCUCACUUUGUUAUAUAGCUUUUUUUUGUUUUAGCAAAAUACUUUAAUAUAAUAUGCUAAUUAGAUAAAUCAAGGUCCUUUUGUUAUACUUCUUAUUUUUGUUAAUGUCUAUUCAUUAGUAGUAGUCUAAUAAGUAAGGUACUCAUCUACAUAAUAUAAUUCUGGACACUAUAGUCAGUACUCUUGUCACACAUUAUUAGUCAAAUGUCUGAUGGGAUUUUCUUAGAGGUGAAUUGUUAUAUUGUUAUUGUAUUGUAUUUUAAUUGUGCUGUGCUCUAUUGUAAUUUGUAUUCCUCUGUCAGCAUAAUUGAGCAACCUUUGCCAGUAGGCUCUGUCUUUUUGUUGGAAGGGAAUUACAUGUUUGCUUUUGGCUCAUUUUUAAUGCUGUGUUUUUAAUGGCCACUGCAGAAGGGGCAUCAUGACACAGUUCCCAACCUUGAGCAGAGACAGCAGGGCAAAGGCCUCCAGGAGUGUUCACCAUUGCUAGGCAUCAGGCUUGUUCAUAUAGUUUACUUUACGCCUCUCCUUUGGGGAAAUGCUCUCUGCCAAGGUGAAUGACUCCAUGAUAACCAGAGAUAACAGAUGUCCAGGAGGCAAGGGUGUAUCUAAUGUUCUUAGGAAAAUGGUAAAUGCUGAGUCCUUAGCAAAAUGGCAAGCCUGAGACCUAAGACUGUGGGAAAAAAGUCCUCUAAAAACAUGAAAUCAAAAAUAUAUAAACAAGAUUUCUCAAUUAUGCAAAAUAUAAGGACCUAAUAGGAAUUGUUAGGGGCUUUACAGGCCUAAAAACAAAACAAAACUAAACUAAAAAAACC